UGGGGAAUAUUGCACAAUGGGGGAAACCCUGAUGCAGCGACGCCGCGUGAGGGAUGAAGGUCUUCGGAUCGUAAACCUCUGUCAGAAGGGAAGAAACUAGGGUGCUCUAAUCAUCAUCCUACUGACGGUACCUUCAAAGGAAGCACCGGCUAAUUACGUGCCAGCAGCCGCGGUAACACGUAAGGUGCGAGCGUUGUUCGGAAUCAUUGGGCGUAAAGGGCAUGUAGGCGGUCUGUCAAGCCAGGCGUGAAAGCCAGGGGCUCAACCCCUGAACUGCGCUUGGAACUGGCGGACUGGAGUCGCUGAGGGGGAACCGGAAUUCCUGGUGUAGGGGUGAAAUCUGUAGAUAUCAGGAAGAACACCGAUGGCGAAGGCAGGUUUCCAGCAGACGACUGACGCUGAGGUGCGAAGGUGCGGGGAGC
rnacentral:rRNA from 1 species